GGAUCAUGCUACUCACCAACAGUCUUUC
rnacentral:sRNA from 1 species